rnacentral:sRNA from 1 species
ACGGACAUGGAUGUCCGUGAUAUAAAACAAGAGCGAUGUUUUUGCGUGAGCAAAAACUCGCCGUCAGCAAAUGUACACGGAUGUACAUUUGCUGGCAGGG